rnacentral:rRNA from 1 species
ACGAACGCUGGCGGCGUGCUUAACACAUGCAAGUCGAACGGAAAGGCCCUGCUUUUGUGCGGUGCUCGAGUGGCGAACGGGUGAGUAACACGUGAGUAACCUGCCCUUGACUUUGGGAUAACUUCAGGAAACUGGGGCUAAUACCGGAUAGGAGCUCCUGCUGCAUGGUGGGGGUUGGAAAGUUUCGGCGGUUGGGGAUGGACUCGCGGCUUAUCAGCUUGUUGGUGGGGUAGUGGCUUACCAAGGCUUUGACGGGUAGCCGGCCUGAGAGGGUGACCGGCCACAUUGGGACUGAGAUACGGCCCAGACUCCUACGGGAGGCAGCAGUGGGGAAUAUUGCACAAUGGGCGGAAGCCUGAUGCAGCAACGCCGCGUGCGGGAUGACGGCCUUCGGGUUGUAAACCGCUUUCGCCUGUGACGAAGCGUGAGUGACGGUAAUGGGUAAAGAAGCACCGGCUAACUACGUG